UUCCCUGCACAAAACUAAUUUGGAGGAGAAUGCUAUUACUACAAACGUUAAAAACGAUAGAUAAAUGUACCUAGAGGUUUGUAGUGGAUGAGUUUUCGUUUGUAGUUAGAUAGAAAAUAAAUUAGAGAGGUAAAAUCGAAAAUAAUCGAUUUUGGAGUGAUUUCAUCUCAAUCACUUCCGGUAAGAGGAUUUCCCGAUUACUACAAACGUUAAAAACAAUAGAUAAAUGUACCUAGAGGUUUGUAGUGGACGAGUUUUCGUUUGUAGUUAGAUAGAAAAUAAAUUAGAGAGGUAAAAUCGAAAAUAAUCGAUUUUGGAGUGAUUUCAUCUCAAUAACUUCCGGUAAGAGGAUUUCCCGAUUACUACAAACGUUAAAAACGAUUGAUAAAUGUAUGUAGAGGUUUGUAGUGGACGAAUUAUCGUUUGUAGUUAGAUAGAAAAUAAAUUAGAGAGGUAAAAUCGAAAAUAAUCGAUUUUGGAGUGAUUUCAUCUCAUUUACUUCCGGUAAGAGGAUUUCCCGAUUACUACAAACGUUAAAAACGAUAGCUAAAUGUACCUAGAGGUUUGUAGUGGACGAGUUUUCGUUUGUAGUUAGAUAGAAAAUAAAUUAGAGAGGUAAAAUCGAAAAUAAUCCAUUUUGAAGGGAUUUCAUCUUAAUUACUUCCGGUAAGAGGAUUUCCCGAUUACUACAAACGUUAAAAACGAUAGAUAAAUGUACCUAGAGGUUUGUAGUGGACGAGUUUUCGUUUGUAGUUAGAUAGAAAAUAAAUUAGAGAGGUAAAAUCGAAAAUAAUCGAUUUUGGAGUGAUUUCCUCUUAAUUAUUUCCGGUAAGAGGAUUUCCCGAUUACUACAAACGUUAAAAACGAUUGAUAAAUGUAUGUAGAGGUUUGUAGUGGACGAGUUUUCGUUUGUAGUUAGAUAGAAAAUAAAUUAGAGAGG